GGCUACUGAAUAUAAGAUGUGGGAUAAUAUAAGAAUGGGACAUUUUAUCCAAGUCAUCUCAAUGGUAAAAAGUGUCCCAAUCACCCUGAACUGGAGCUCUAAAAUAAUGUUAUUGACUUCAACUGAUGAAUGCAGCCAAAGAAAAGAUGAAGAAUGGAAAAGCACUUUGCUGGCAAAGAAAUUGGAAAAUAACACAGGUAAGACAAUUCCUAUACCCAUAAAUACCUGUCAAACAUGGUUUUAUUAAAGAAAAGUUAUUUAAAAAAAUUACUUUAAUUUUUACACAUAAGAAAGGUAUAGCAUGUGGCAAAAAGUGUAAUAUAGCCACACUGUGAGAUACAAGCAAGUGACGAUCGAGUGACGUCAUUCUUUAGGUUACGCGCAUGUAUCCAUGGCAACGCUCGGCUGCGUCGACAGUUAACGGUCCUGCCGGUGAUUUUCUCAGAUGAGGCCUUGAGUUUUCUCUUUCGUCGGUCGAAAAGGUUAGAAGCCAUCGAAAAAACUGCCAUCGGACUACCACAGCUGACAACGAGAGACGCGCGUGCACAACUGCAUAACACACACACGGAAAGAGCACAACAAUUAUGAAACUGCUCAUUUAUUAUAAAUAAAUAAAUGUAUUUUUCUCCUUA